UGGAUAAGAGUGGUGUAAGUGA
rnacentral:siRNA from 1 species